GUGGGGAAUAUUGGACAAUGGGCGAAAGCCUGAUCCAGCCAUGCCGCGUGUGUGAAGAAGGUCUUCGGAUUGUAAAGCACUUUAAGUUGGGAGGAAGGGCAGUAAGUUAAUACCUUGCUGUUUUGACGUUACCGACAGAAUAAGCACCGGCUAACUUCGUGCCAGCAGCCGCGGUAAUACGAAGGGUGCAAGCGUUAAUCGGAAUUACUGGGCGUAAAGCGCGCGUAGGUGGUUGUGUAAGUUGGAGGUGAAAUCCCCGGGCUCAACCUGGGAACUGCCUCCAAAACUGCAUGACUAGAGUACGGUAGAGGGUAGUGGAAUUUCCUGUGUAGCGGUGAAAUGCGUAGAUAUAGGAAGGAACACCAGUGGCGAAGGCGACUACCUGGACUGAUACUGACACUGAGGUGCGAAAGCGUGGGGAGCAAACAGGAUUAGAAACCCGUGUAGUCC
rnacentral:rRNA from 1 species